rnacentral:rRNA from 1 species
UACGGAGGGUGCAAGCGUUAAUCGGAAUUACUGGGCGUAAAGAGUGCGUAGGUGGUUUAGUGUGUUAGAUGUGAAAUCCAUGGGCUUAACCUGUGAAUUGCAUUUAAAACUGCUGAGCUAGAGUGUUGUAGAGGGUGGCGGAAUUUCCAGUGUAGCGGUGAAAUGCGUAGAUAUUGGAAGGAACACCAGUGGCGAAGGCGGCCACCUGGACAAACACUGACACUGAGGCACGAAAGCGUAGGUAGCGAACAGG